rnacentral:rRNA from 1 species
UACGUAGGGGGCAAGCGUUGUCCGGAAUUAUUGGGCGUAAAGCGCGUGUAGGCGGCUCGGUAAGUCUGCUGUGAAAGUCCAGGGCUCAACCCUGGAAUGCCGGUGGAUACUGCCGGGCUAGAGGGUGGUAGAGGCGAGUGGAAUUCCCGGUGUAGCGGUGAAAUGCGCAGAUAUCGGGAGGAACACCAGUAGCGAAGGCGGCUCACUGGACUGGUAUUGACGCUGAGGUGCGAAAGCGUGGGGAGCAAACAGG